AACCUACCCUGUACACACGGAUAACAUACCGAAAGGUAUGCUAAUACGGGAUAAUAUAUUUGAGAGGCAUCUCUUGAAUAUCAAAGGUGAGCCAGUACAGGAUGGACCCGCGUCUGAUUAGCUAGUUGGUAAGUAACGGCUUACCAAGGCGACGAUCAGUAGCCGACCUGAGAGGGUGAUCGGCCACAUUGGAACUGAGACACGGUCCAA
rnacentral:rRNA from 1 species